AUCAUACUUCCUCCGUCUGAAAAUACUUGUCAACAAAAUGGACAAAAAAGAUAUAUCUAGAACUAAAAUACAUCUAUAUACAUCUUUUUAUUCAUUUUGAUGAUAAAUAUUUCUGGACAGAGGGAGUACUAG
rfam:Triticum aestivum genome assembly, contig: Triticum_aestivum_CS42_TGACv1_scaffold_220617_3B